rnacentral:rRNA from 1 species
UGGGGAAUAUUGGACAAUGGGCGAAAGCCUGAUCCAGCCAUGCCGCGUGUGUGAAGAAGGUCUUCGGAUUGUAAAGCACUUUAAGUUGGGAGGAAGGGCAUUAACCUAAUACGUUAGUGCUUUGACGUUACCGACAGAAUAAGCACCGGCUAACUCUGUGCCAGCAGCCGCGGUAAUACAGAGGGUGCAAGCGUUAAUCGGAAUUACUGGGCGUAAAGCGCGCGUAGGUUGUUUGUUAAGUUGAAUGUGAAAUCCCCGGGCUCAACCUGGGAACUGCAUCCAAAACUGGCAAGCUAGAGUAUGGUAGAGGGUAGUGGAAUUUCCUGUGUAGCGGUGAAAUGCGUAGAUAUAGGAAGGAACACCAGUGGCGAAGGCGACUACCUGGACUGAUACUGACACUGAGGUGCGAAAGCGUGGGGAGCAAACA